CCAAGUGACGUCAACAACGUCGAGGAAACGUCAGUAUUUGGUGGAAUAUAUACACGUGGUUGAACAUUACGUCAUAUCGACGUCUUUUGUAGGUGAUUUUAAAUACGUAAGAUUAAUGACGUUAAAAUACGUUUAAAAGACGUUUUCAUUUCAGCCAGCCUAAGUCUGACGUCACGAAAUUGGGAGGAGCUUGGAGCUUAAAAGUUACAAAACUAAGGUUAUGUUUUAUGUUUGUAUCGUCGUCGUCGUUGUCGUUUGUUUGUCCUAGUAUUUUAUCCUAUUUUGGAUUCAUUUGGAUUUUGUUGGCCGUUUUGUGUGUAUUUUUUAACUUUUGUUUGUCAUUUGUAAAUUUUAUAAAUUUACCACAAUGCAAAGUGACUAUUUAAGGAAAUUAUUAUGGGAAACUCCGCAGAUGUUUUAGAAAGAUAUUCAUUGAAGCUGAAAAUAAUUGGAGAUAUAGAUCCAUAUACAUGCAAUUCAGUCAUCAGAAUUGGAUUUUACAGUGCAUUUCAUCAAUUACUGUUAUAAUGCUAUUAUAGAUAGACUGGUAGAGUCUCACAGUUACUACUUUAAGCAGCAGAUGAAAGCAUACAAAAGCCUUCAGACACAUAAAAGCCUUCACAACUGGAUUUGUUUUGAAACAUUUGAUGUUUUGAUGAUUUCUAUAUUAUUGUUGGAAAGGUGAAGAAUUCCCAAAAAGCUAAUGCUAAACCACUAGAUGCUUGGGUGAUAGCCAGUUUCAAUGGCAUAGCAAAUGCACAUUGUAUGUGUAUUGCCGGUAAUAGUGAAGUUUGCAGCCAUAUUGCAGCAAUCUUAUUUGCAGCUGAGUAUGCCCACAGCAAGACAGAAGAAGAAGAACCCAGUGCAUGUACAGAUAUUACAGCUAUGUAUAUUCUCUGGUGAAAAACUAAUGAGUUUUCAAGCUGUUCGGUCAGAGUGCUUGUUGCGCUCUCUAAACGAACUGAAAUAUAAGACGGCUUUGGCUUCAUGUUGCAGCGAUAUGAAAAUGCUUUCCAGAAGAUCCUGCGAAGAAGACAUGAAGUAUAGAUCAGAUUUGUUAAUAGAGGAGUAUGUUCAAAACACUUUUUAGAAAAAGAUAUUGACAGAACUUCACUUUCAUCUGUUCGUUUGAGAGACUGUUCUGUUCCAAUAGCUUAUGUCACACAGAAUCAGCUGAGAGAAGUGGUCUACAAAAAACCAGAAAGGAAACGGAAUAUGUGGCUACGAAAAGCAAAAGAAAGGUUUACAAAGCAAAUGUGACACAUUUUUUUAUAAUAUUUAGGAAUGUCAGCAAAUUACAUUAAAAAAUGUAUGUAAAGAUUUUUUGCAAUAAAAAUGUUUAUAUUUA
rnacentral:lncRNA from 1 species